rnacentral:rRNA from 1 species
UCCGGUGGCGAUGCGCGUUUGGGAAACACCCGUCCUCAUCCCGAACACGAUGGUUAAGACUGAAGCGGCCGAUAAAACUAUACUGGUAACGGUAUGGGAAGGUAGGUGGCUGCCGGAU